rnacentral:misc_RNA from 1 species
UCCCCGUUUUCCGGGGCAGUCUCUGUAGAGUUCCCGGCAUAACCCGCUGGCAACUACAGACAAGGGUUGCGCUCGUUGCGGGACUUAACCCAACAUCUCACGACACGAGCUGACGACAGCCAUGUAGCACCUGUGUUCCCGUUCCCUUUCGGGCACAGCCGGGUUUCCCCAGCCUCCAGGACAUGUCAAGGGUAGGUAAGGUUUUUCGCGUUGCAUCGAAUUAAUCCACAUAAUCCACCGCUUGUGCGGGUCCCCGUCAAUUCCUUUGAGUUUUAACCUUGCGGCCGUACUCCCCAGGCGGGGUGCUUAAUGCGUUAGCUUCGGCACGGACGGGGUUGAUAUCCGCCCACACCUAGCACCCAACGUUUACGGCUAGGACUGC